rnacentral:sRNA from 1 species
GCCAGGCACAGUGACGCAGGCCUGUAAUCCCAGCAGCUCAGGAGGCUGAGGCAGGAAAAUCACAAGUUCAAAGCCUGCCUCAGCAAAAUCGAGGUGCUAAGCAACUCAGUGAGACCCUGUCUCUA